CUAUUCCUUCCAAGCUCGUGCUUA
rnacentral:siRNA from 1 species